rnacentral:rRNA from 1 species
GGCAUAACCCCGGGAAACUGGGGAUAAUUCCGGAUAACGCACAUAUGCUGGAAUGCUUUAUGCGUGAAAUGGAUUCGUCUGCCCAAGGAUGGGUCUGCGGCCUAUCAGGUAGUAGUGGGUGUAAUGUACCUACUAGCCUACGACGGGUACGGGUUGUGAGAGCAAGAGCCCGGAGAUGGAUUCUGAGACAUGAAUCCAGGCCCUACGGGGCGCAGCAGGCGCGAAAACUUUACAAUGCGGGAAACCGUGAUAAGGGGACACCGAGUGCCAGCAUCCUAUGCUGGCUGUCCAGGUGUGCAAAAUACACCUGUUAGCAAGGGCCGGGCAAGACCGGUGCCAGCCGCCGCGGUAACACCGGCGGCCCGAGUGGUGAUCGUGAUUAUUGGGUCUAAAGGGUCCGUAGCCGGUUUGGUCAGUCCUCCGGGAAAUCUGACAGCUUAACUGUUAGGCUUUCGGAGGAUACUGCCAGACUUGGAACCGGGAGAGGUAAGAGGUACUACAGGGGUAGGAGUGAAAUCUUGUAAUCCCUGUGGGACCACCUGUGGCGAAGGCGUCUUACCAGAACGGGUUCGACGGUGAGGGACGAAAGCUGGGGGCACGAACCGGAUUAGAUACCCGGGUAGUCCCAGCCGUAAACGAUGCUCGCUAGGUGUCAGGCAUGGCGCGACCGUGUCUGGUGCCGCAGGGAAGCCGUGAAGCGAGCCACCUGGGAAGUACGGCCGCAAGGCUGAAACUUAA